rnacentral:rRNA from 1 species
GACGAACGCUGGCGGCGUGCUUAACACAUGCAAGUCGAACGGUGAAGCGCCUUCCUUUUUGGUGGGUGUGGAUGAGUGGCGAACGGGUGAGUAACACGUGAGUAACCUGCCCCCUUCUUCUGGAUAACCGCAUGAAAGUGUGGCUAAUACGGGAUAUUCUGGGUCUGUCGCAUGAUGGGUCUGGGAAAGAUAUUGUUUCGGUGGGGGAUGGGCUCGCGGCCUAUCAGCUUGUUGGUGGGGUGAUGGCCUACCGAGGCGGUGACGGGUAGCCGGCCUGAGAGGGUGGACGGUCACACUGGGACGGAGACACGGCCCAGACUCCUACGGGAGGCAGCAGUGGGGAAUAUGGCACAAUGGGCGCAAGCCUGAUGCAGCGACGCCGCGUGAGGGAUGGGGGCCUUCGGGUUGUGAACCUCUUUCGCCAGUGAAGCAGGCCUGCCUCGUUUGUGGGUGGGUUGACGGUAGCUGGAUAAGAAGCGCCGGCUAACUACGUG